UGGGGAAUUUUGGACAAUGGGCGAAAGCCUGACGCAGCGACGCCGCGUGGACGAUGAAGGUCUUCGGAUCGUAAAGUCCUUUUCUGCGUGACGAGGAAGGACGGUAGCGCAGGAAUAAGUGUCGGCUAACUACGUGCCAGCAGCCGCGGUAACACGUAGGACGCAAGCGUUAUCCGGAAUUACUGGGCGUAAAGGGCGUGUAGGCGGCACGGUAAGUCAACCGUGAAAGCUCCCGGCUAAACUGGGAGAGGUCGGAUGAGACUGCCGAGCUAGAGGGUCGUAGAGGGGUGUGGAAUUCCGGGUGUAGUGGUGAAAUGCGUAGAGAUCCGGAGGAACACCAGAGGCGAAGGCGGCACCCUGGACGACACCAGACGCUGAGACGCGACAGCACGGGGAGCGAACGGGAUUAGAUACCCCCGUAGUCCCUGAGCGGGCUGGCAAGGCGCAU
rnacentral:rRNA from 1 species